rnacentral:rRNA from 1 species
UAUUGUUUAUUUGGUGAUUGAUCACUAUAUGGAUAACCAUGGUAAUUCUAGAGCUAAUACAUGCGCCCAGACCCGACUUUGUGGAAGGGUUGUGUUUAUUAGUUACAGAACCAACCCAAGCUCUGCUUGGUUUCUUGGUGAUUCAUAAUAACCGAACGAAUCGCAUAGCAACCGCUGGCGAUAAACCAUUCAAGUUUCUGACCUAUCAGCUUCCGACGGUAGGGUAUUGGCCUACCGUGGCUAUGACGGGUAACGGAGAAUUAGGGUUUGAUUCCGGAGAGGGAGCCCGAGAAACGGCUACCACA